rnacentral:SRP_RNA from 1 species
GCUGGGCUCAGUGGCACGUGCCUGUAGUCCCAGCUACUUGGAAGGCCCAGGAGUUCUGGGCUGUAGUGCACUAUGCCAACUGGGUGUCCGCACUAAGUUCAGCAUCAAUAUGCUGACCUCCCAGGAGCGGGGGACCACCAGGUUGCCUAAGGAGGGGUGAACCGGCCCAUGUUGGAAACAGAGCAGGUCAAAACUCCCUUGCUGAUCAGUAGUGGGAUUGCGCCUGUGAACAGCCACUGCACUCCAGCCUGGGCAACAU